AGAUACUGCGCUGAUACCCAAAGGAGAUGUGAGGGAUUGGCCGGUUGGUAAGGUGAUGGUGUUGGUUGUGGUUGUGGUGGUGCUGAGGAGGUUGGUGUACUCAGUGGCUUAUGUCGGCGGAUUAUGUCAGCAGAUUAUGUCAGCAGAUUAUGUCAGCCGAUCAUGUCGGCGGAUUAUGUCUGUGACUUAUGUCAGCCGAUUAUGUCAGCGUGUAUGUCAGUGGCUUACGUCAUUUGUUCAUGUGAGCUUACAUCAUUGCUCAUGCUGUGCACCGCAUCGCACCACAUCACAUGACUGACGUCACAUGACUAACAGCUCUGAAGCGUCAUGUCGCAAUGUGUGGAUGUCCAUGUGCCCACCACAUUGCUUCUGUGGUGACCACGUCACCUCCGUGGUGACCUCCGUGGUGACCACCGUGGUCAUGUCAUGUCGUGCGUGCUGUGGCUGUGGCUGUCAUUUGUCACGUCACAACAUCCACGUUGCACCGAUCCCAUCACCCUUGCUCCCCCACCUUCCUCUAGCUGCAAUCGAUCCGUUUGUUACCCUCCUUUAGAUCAUUUUAGUACAUGACUCGGUUCGCUGGUCUGAACUCUAUUGGGACAUU
rnacentral:misc_RNA from 1 species